rnacentral:tRNA from 1 species
GGAGCUUCUGGCACAGGAACCUGUGGUAUUUCUGGCGCUUUUACUGCUGGAGCUGAUGGUUCAACUGCCUGCGGGGUUUCU